AAGUCGUAACAAGGUUUCCGUAGGUGAACCUGCGGAAGGAUCAUUAACACGUAUCCAACGUUAAACAACCCUGUGAACCUUGAACGUGCUCCUGCAGCCCCAUGAAAUCAGCAAUCCCUGGUAAAUCAUUGUUGACCAGCUUUUGAGUCAGGGACCUCUGCCGAAACGGCUGUUCAGUACCGAGCGCGGUGUAAGCGACCUGGCAUCCCCAAGCGAUCAGUGUCUGAAAGUGUCAUUGAUAUUGUGUAAGGAUGGCGCAGUAAACGAUUGCUAGAGGCCCACACGGCCGGCAACCGGGUCCCAGGGCUCACGCCCCUUUAUCACCCCACAGUUUCCGACUGGGCAGCCGAUAAUACGGACGCCGUAAAAAACUGAACAACUGUUAACAAUGGAUAUCUUGGUUCUC
rnacentral:misc_RNA from 1 species